UUCAAAACUAUAAAUUCCUAUACUCUUUUCUUUCAAACACACGAACACACAGAGACAAGUUCUGAAACACACACACACCCUCACUACUUCUCUUUCUCUUUCUCAAAUUCUUCUAAGUCCUCUAAAAGCAAUUCGAGUUGGUUCUGCUGAAAUUCUAAGUUGAUCUUUCUUUGCUUGUUUGUGGCUGCAAGUACUAUGCUUUUAUUAUUGCUUACCUUUGAAACUGGUAUGUCUAUCCUAGUUUAAAUAGUC
rnacentral:lncRNA from 1 species